UACGGUGGCAAUAGCGGAGGGGAAACACCUGUUCCCAUUCCGAACACGGCAGUUAAGCCCUCCUGCGCCGAUGAUACUUCGAGGGUAACUUCGUGGGAAAGUAGGACGUUGCCGUAA
rnacentral:rRNA from 1 species